rnacentral:tRNA from 1 species
GUCCUCAUAGUUCAACGGAUAGAACGGGGGUUUCCUAAACCCUAAAUGGAAGUUCAAUUCUUCCUGGGGACA